GCGCCCCUCCAUCCAGCAUUUUAAUGCAUUCUUUUUUUAAAUCACCGGAAGUUAAAUUUCUUGCCGUUUGCUUUUGGGAUCGCCGACCUCCCUUCUGACAUCAUUUUCCUGCUUCCUGAAGUAUCCCCGUUAGCCUUUACAGGUGGUAAAGUCUGUUUCUGGGUGCCUGAAAAGGCCUUCCUCUUGCCCCUGUUUCAGAAGACACUUGCAUAGAGUAAAUAGGUUGGUGGGGUUUUUUUGUUUUUGUUUUUGUUUCUUUCUUCAAUGCUUGAAGCUGUUACUUUACUGUCUCCUGGCGUCUUUGUUGCUGACGAGAUAUCAGCUAUCAGAUUUCUAUUUGGGAAACCCAUCUUGUUAGUCUGGCUGUUUCUAGGAUCUUCCUCACGUCUAAGGUGUCCACGGGGUCACACAAGUGGCUACAUGUCUGCCCUUCGUCCUGCGUGACAAUAUUUGGUUCUUCUGGAAUCGGAGAGUUAAUUUUUCGAAAAUUCUAGGAAAUAACCAGUGAUCCGCUCUUCAAAUAUUGCCUAUACCUCCCUCUCUUUGUUAGCUCCUCUUUUGGUUCUCUGGGGGAAUUUCCAUAACUUUCUUGUCAGUCAAACAUUUUAAAAUAUUUUUAAAAAUACUUUAUUAAAUGUCUCAGGUGUCUUGUCAUGUUUGUUUCAGGGUACUUAUGCCCACUCUGCAGCCAGAAACAGAAGUCACUGGAGACCUUGUUUCCUUUGGAUGGAUCUUUCCUCAUGUGAAGGGUGUGGGCAUGAUUCAGAAGGAAGCAGGAAUUUUAUGGCCAUGUAUCCGCCAGGAGCCCAGCAGGAACACAGAAGCCCGUUGAGAGAUUCCAAGGAGGAAGGUCUUGGGGGGAUAGGCAACCGUUGGACAAGCUGUUCUCAACUGCCACUAGAGAAUAACGGCUUCUUCUCUUGCACAUCUCAUGAGGAUGCCCCUCGUUGGCUGAGUCUCGCCUGGAACCAUAUGGAGAAAGUGAUUCUAGAAGCUGUGUGUGGUCCCAGGCUUCUCCUUGCUACGCAUAGAAGGUUGGAGAAGGGAGUCAUGGUGAUUCUAAGUUGACAACGAUUUGCCCCAGAAGAAACUUAACAGAUGUGAAGAUAGAAAAUUCUUCACCAGGGACGCCUGGGUGGCGCAGUCAGUUAAGCGUUCGACUUCAG